rnacentral:lncRNA from 1 species
CACGCGAGAGUGCAUGAUAGUUGGGAAUGUAUAACAAUUAUUUCUUACAAGACAGCGCCAAGUUCGGGAACUUUUUGAAGUAUUUAAAGGUUUUUUUUUUUUUCAAUGAAGUUGGAGGUUUGAAAAUUGUUUUGCCUGUUCGGCGGUGGAUUUUCCGCCGUGUGGGUCGGGAGAAGGAAGAAAAGACUAAAGAGAGGAUCGCAUGUAGACUGAUGUUGUGGGACCCGCUAGCGGGUAUCUGAUUCUUCAUACGUGGCAACACUGUCAGCAAAUAUGGGGAGACGGAGUUUGCGGACCAUCUGAUUUGACGUGACAUUCACCUAGAUUGGUAGAGCUGGAUUGCCCCCGUGUACUUUUAUGUUGUGUUUACUUGCUGGAGUGGGAGUGAGGAGUGUGGAUUCCUCCCACUCCAGCGUUUACUUACUUAAAAUGGGGAGGGAUUGGGAGUCCCAUUCCGUGGGUCCUACCCAUUUUUGGAGUGGGGAGUGGGAGUGGGACUCCCAUUGGGGGAGGUGGGAGUGGGAAUCCACUCCCACCUCUCCCAUUUCUACCCUUUUUUUUAUUUUAUGUUUUAUAAUUAAUAAAAUAAAAUAAAUAAUAUUAUAUUUAUUUAAAUAAUAAUAUUAUAUUUAUUUAAAUAAUAAUAUUAUAUUUAACUAAAUAAUAAUUUACAUUGAUUCUAAGUUAAAAUUAUUUUAAAAUAAUAUUAUUAUAUUAAUAGAGAAUUAAUAAAUAUAAUAUUAUUAUAUUUAUUUUAAAAAUAAUAGUACUAUAUUUAUUUAAUAAUAAUAAUAAAUACUUUAUUCUAAGAAAAUAUUAAUUUUGUACUAAAUAAUAUUAUAUUAUUAUUUUAUAUAAUAAUAAAUUUAAUAUAAUUAUAUUAAAUAAAAUAAAAUAACAUUUCAUUUUAUAUUAAAAUUACAAUUAAUAAUUUAUUGUUCAUAAUUAAGAAUAUUAAUAAUUAUAAUAAAUUUACAAAUAUAAUAAAAUAAAUAUUAUUCAUUAAAUAUAUUUUUUAUUAGUUUUGUAAUUAAAAAUUAUAAUUCUUUAAAUAAGGAUAAAAUUGUAAUUUGAAACUAUUUACUCCCAAUCCAAGACAAAGUAAACACAUAAAUUUGAUUCUGAUCUCCAUUCCAUGCUUCCAUUCCAGUGUAAGUAAACAACAUACUCCCACUCCCACUCCACACUCCCAAUCCUAGGAUUCCCACUCCCCAAGAUUCUCAAUCCAAUCCAAAAAGUAAACGCUACCUUAGUCUUUUACCCUGAUCUGGAGCGAAUCUGUUUGUUGUGUCAUGUGGGUGUAUGGUGUUGGGCAGGACUGAAAUUUUAAAAGCUUUGUACGAAGCUCAGAAUAAUUAGCCCAUCCUGUAUCACAUUUUUUAUUAAAAAUUAAUUCCAUAUGAAAGUAUGAAUUGGAUAACAGCAUCACAUGAUGCAUAUAAGGUCGUGACUAUUGUGCCUUUGAGAUACCGAUUU